rnacentral:misc_RNA from 1 species
AACUGAUACUACCUGCGGGAACCUGCGGAAGGAUCAUUACCGAGUUAGGGUUCCUCUCACGGGCCCGACCUCCCAACCCUGUGUCUAUCACACCUUGUCGUUGCUUCGGCGGACCGGUUUGACUCCGGUCGCGACCGCCGGGGGUGCUUCACCCCGGGAGAGCGUCCGCCGAUGGCCCAACCACAAAACUUCUUUGUACCAAAACCGGUCGUCUAAAUCAAACUUGAUCAUAAUCAAAAA